rnacentral:rRNA from 1 species
UUUUGACAAUGGGCCGCAAGNCCUGNUGGCAGCGACGCCGCGUGGAGGGAUGAAUGGCUUCGGCCCGUAAACCCCUGUCAUUUGCGAUCAACCGUUAUUAUUUAAAAGAUGAUAGACCUGAUAUGUAGCUGAAAGAGGAAGGGACGGCUAACUCUGUGCCAGCAGCCGNGGUAAUACAGAGGUCCCAAGCGUUGUUCGGAUUCACUGGGCGUAAAGGGUGCGUAGGUGGCGAGGUAAGUCGGAUGUGAAAUCUCGGAGCUCAACUCCGAAACUGCAUUGGAAACUACCUUGCUCGAGGGUUGGAGGGGGGGCUGGAAUGCUUGGUGUANCANNGAAAUGCGUAGAUAUCAAGCGGAACACCAGUGGCNAANGCNAGUCCCUGGACAACUCCUGACACUGAUGCACGAAAGCUAGGGGAGCAAACAGGAUUAGAUACCCUGGUAGUCCUAGCCGUAAACGGUAGCAUGUUUGCUGUAAAAGGAAUCNACCCCUUUUGUGGCGNAGCCAACGCGUUAAACAUGCCGNCUGNGAAGUACGGUCGCAAGAUUAAAACUCAAAAAAAUUGACGGA